rnacentral:rRNA from 1 species
ACGGAAGGCAGCAGUGGGGGAUAUUGCACAAUGGGGGAAACCCUGAUGCAGCGACGCCGCGUGAGUGAAGAAGUAUUUCGGUAUGUAAAGCUCUUUAAGUUGGGAAGAUAAUGACGGUACCAACAGAAUAAGCCCCGGCUAACUACGUGCCAGCAGCCGCGGUAAUACGUAGGGGGCAAGCGUUAUCCGGAUUUACUGGGUGUAAAGGGAGCGUAGACGGCAUAGCAAGUCUGAAGUGAAAUCAUAGGGCUCAACCCUGUAAUUGCUUUGGAAACUGUUAAGCUCGAGUACCGGAGGGGCAGGCGGAAUUCCUGGUGUAGCGGUGAAAUGCGUAGAUAUCAGGAAGAACACCGGUGGCGAAGGCGGCCUGCUGGACAGUAACUGACGUUGAGGCUCGAAAGCGUGGGGAGCAAACAGGAUUAGAUACCCUGGUA